AAUAGAACUUGUUAGGUGAGGCUCCUAAAUGAACACAGGCUAUUGCCCAAAAAUGUCGAGAGACGCCAAUGGGUAGAACAGGCAGGAUCGGAUUAAGGUAUGCUUAAGAUAGCUGAUUCAAUAGAAUCUACGUCAUUUAGUGCUAAAGCUCAAAGGAGGAGUUGAUAU
rnacentral:sRNA from 1 species